rnacentral:rRNA from 1 species
AUUGAACGCUGGCGGAAUGCUUUACACAUGCAAGUCGAGCGGCAGCGCGGGGGCGAACCCUCGGCGGCGAGCGGCGAACGGGUGAGUAAUACAUCGGAACGUGUCCUUAAGUGGGGGAUAGCUCGGCGAAAGCCGGAUUAAUACCGCAUAAGCUCUGAGGAGGAAAGCGGGGGCGUCCGUAAGGACCUCGCGCUGUUGGAGCGGCCCGAUGUCGGAUUAGCUAGUUGGUGGGGUAAAAGCCCACCAAGGCGACGAUCCGUAGCUGGUCUGAGAGGAUGAUCAGCCACACUGGAACUGAGACACGGUCCAGACUCCUACGGGAGGCAGCAGUGGGGAAUUUUGGACAAUGGGGGCGAACCCUGAUCCAGCCAUUCCGCGUGAGUGAAGAAGGCCUCGGUUGUAAGA